AUCUAACUUUUAUCUUAAAUAUUCAAAUCUUGGUUUUUCUACAAGAAUCCACGACUUAUUUUCAUAGUGCGAUUUCAUUUCAUCAUUUAUAGCCUCUUCCCAUAACUCUUUCUUUUCGGAUCUCAUCGCUUCGUUAAAAUUCACUGGUAAUUUUUCCGCUAAGUACGUUACUGGACUACCAUCAAAAUCGGUUCGUCUUACCUCUAUCUCUCUAUUGUCUCACAUUCUCGCUAGUUCUAAAAGGUUGUUUUUCAGGUUCACUCUCUGCACUUUCAUACGUACAUACUCUAUCGCUCUGUGCACACACAUCUUCGCGCUCGACAAUUUUCGGUAAACUUAAAUUAACGAAUUUUUCAGUUUCUGGUUCGGGCUUAAAUAUUACGUCACGACUCAAUAUUACAUUUCUUACCUCGUCCGUCAUCCAGAUAGCCUACCGGUUUUCCUUUGUUAGCCUUUUUGUCCA
rnacentral:misc_RNA from 1 species